GGUUUACCUUGCGUGAACUG
rnacentral:snRNA from 1 species